rnacentral:lncRNA from 1 species
GUUUCUAAAUACUUUCAAUAGUGUAGAUCAAGUCUAAUGGAGCCGAUCGUCAAUUUGGAAGCCGCAUCAUCGAAAACAACUUGGUAGCACGGAGCGCUCCGUGCUACCGAUAGUAUAGUAGCCUAGUUCCCAAAUAUAUAUAUAUAGAGUGAGGUACUAUGCUAUCGGAAGCACGGAGCCUUCCGUGCUUCCAGCUCGUUUUCGAUUUUGCGACUUUCAAAUCCGAGUCGAUCGGCUCCGUUAAACUUGAUCUAGAGUAUUUGGAGUACCUAGAAAAUAAAUUUUAUUAUUUUUCGAUAUCAUUUGCCUAGUGAUCGAAUGGGCUCAAAAUCAACAAAUUUCAAUGGCCAUAGUGAGCCGUUUGCAAGUUUAACGGUGUAGAAAUAUCCAAAUCACGUGAAAUUUUGAUAGAAAAUUCUUUAUACUAUAUAAAAUAAGAUCAAUAUCUUUGAUUUAAAAUUUUAAUAUCAUAUUAUUACAUUUUGUAAGAUUUUUAUUUUCAGCCGUUGAUUUUGAGCCUCUUCGUUCACUAGGCAAAUGAUAUCGCAAAAUUAUAAAAUUUAUUUUCUAGCUACUUCAAAUACUCUAGAUCAAGUUUAACGGAGCCGAUCGACGAUUCGAAAGUCGCAACAUCGAAAACAAGUUGGAAGCACAGAAGGCUCCGUGCUUCCAAUAGCAUAGUAACCUCACUCUCUCUCUCUAUAUAUAUAUAUAUAUAUAUGAGUUCGACUGCUAUACUAUUGGUAGCAUGGAGGUCUCUGGACUACCAAAUUGUUUUCAAUGAUGCGGCUUCCAAAUAUUUGUUUAGUUUAAUUUGGAAUUGCAGGAAAAAUACGUUA